rnacentral:lncRNA from 1 species
AAAUUAAUUAGAAAGAAAACAAUAGUUCCUUUAUUGAAUUCAAUUCCACCCCAAAGUGUCAACCAAAAAAUUUAUUCGGCUCUUGCAACAGUUGCUCACCGGAUUUUUUUUCUAGAAUAACACAACAUAUGGCCUUACCAUAUUUCUUGUAUAAAACAUGAACUGAAGAACAACCACGAUCCAAUAUAUCGCAACAAUGAGAAGCCAUGGAGUUCAAGAAAAGAAUUAUGACGAGAUUAGUUUUCGAUUUUCAUUUCCAGAGACAGUGGAAUGAACUGUUAUCCUUUUGUAAAGUUCAAAAAACUUUUUCAGUAUUCCAUUAAUAGCAAAGAGUCCAGUAAGGUUAGUAUUCACUUUGUUAUUGCAAAUAACCACAAAGCACGAUAAAAAAAAAUUGAACUUCACAAAAUGUAAAAUUCGCACAAUCAAAAUGUUAAGAUACACUAUUAACCAUGUAAUUUGUGUUAUAAUAUUAUAUUUUCAUCCCAUGUAAACAUUAUUUAUUAUAUUAAUAGAAUCUUUAUUUAAAUAAAUCAUUGUGUUAACAUGUGUGUCCUUUGCUUAUAUAGUAGACAAUUUUGUGUAUAGAGUAUUUUAACUCACGCGCGAAAAAUUAAAAUUGUCGGUUCUUACAAGUAAUAAAUUAACAUACACAAUCAAAGAUGAGGUAGAACAAACAUGUAGCACAAGAUUAAAUAUAAUUUGAUCUUAAUUAUGGGAGUGGUAAUAUUCCAACUUCUUGUGCUAGUACAUUUCGUAUGUAUUGAACGGACCAAUUAGAGAUAUUCGUUUAUAUUCUGAAUAUUAAUAAACGAUUUCUCUAGUCCAUUGCAUGUACUUAUACUCUUAAUCUUGAUAUAAUUAUUAUGAUCUAUAUGAUUUGUUUUGUCAUUUUAAUCUAUUAAAAGAUGAGACUCUUUUGUGAGUCAACAUAUUCCUGAUAGGUUGGAUGAUGACGAAUUACUUAGUGAAAUAUUAAUUAGUUGAUAGAACCAUGUUUUGAACUUGAGAUAGAAGACACCCCUUUAUGGUUGCUUAUAAGUUUUCACGUGAAAAUCCUGCAGGUCGAUUUUGUAUCCGUCAUGUGGAAUAAGUUAAGCAUUAUAAAUAAAGGAUUAAAUUAAUUAAUGAGUUAAAUUUUUCAGAAAAUUUAAAAUUUAUUGAUUAGUGUCGGUUAUUCUAACAUGGGGAGUUAAAUAAGAUGUAAUGGUAGAUUUCGAAAUUAAAAUCAAAGAGUGCAAUUACAAAUUUUUAGUGGAAUAAUUUAUAAUUUAUUAUGAUAUGAUAAUAAUAAAUAGAAGUCUUGACGAGUGCAUUUAUAUGGCACAACCAGAAGGUUUCAUGGAAAGUGGUAAUGAACGUAAGUUUUGUAAACUUAAGAAAUCCAUUUAUGGUUUGAAACAAGCAUCUAUAGCAUGGAAUACUUGUUUUGAUAAUUCGAUUAAGACUUUUAAUUUUGAUCAAUGUGAAAAUGAGUCAUGCAUUUAUAAAAAAUGGGAUGGAGAUAGAGUAACAUUUUUUAUUCUGUACAUAGAUGAUAUUUUGCUCAUAGGAAAUAAUGUGAGCAUGUUGAAUUCUGUUAAGGAGUGGCUGUCCUCACAUUUUGAUAUGAAAGACUUAGGAGAAGCG